GCGCUGACCACCACCACGGCAGCCACAUCUGCUGCCUCCUUUAGUCGGGUAGCUUCUCCUCCCUCGCAUGAGCCACUUAUUUUUCUUGAUGCUAACAGAUAUGAGGCGUGGCAUAAUGCUAUGUGUGAGGAAAUUCAAGCCUUAUGCACAAACAGAACAUGGACUUUAGUGUCGUUUCAUCCGUCCAUGAAUGUUGUUGGUAGCCGAU
rnacentral:lncRNA from 1 species